GGAGGAAAGCAGGGGAUCGCAAGACCUUGCGCUAUUGGAUGAGCCGAAGUCGGAUUAGCUAGUUGGUAGGGUAACGGCCUACCAAGGCGACAAUCAGUAGCUGGUCUGAGAGGACG
rnacentral:rRNA from 1 species